rnacentral:rRNA from 1 species
UACGUAGGGUGCGAGCGUUGUCCGGAAUUACUGGGCGUAAAGGGCUCGUAGGCGGCCAACUAAGUCGGACGUGAAAUCCCUCGGCUCAACCGGGGAACUGCGUCCGAUACUGGAUGGCUUGAGUUCGGGAGAGGGAUGCGGAAUUCCAGGUGUAGCGGUGAAAUGCGUAGAUAUCUGGAGGAACACCGGUGGCGAAGGCGGCAUCCUGGACCGACACUGACGCUGAGGUGCGAAAGCGUGGGGAGCAAACAGG